rnacentral:rRNA from 1 species
GUCGAGGGGCAGCAUGAACUUAGCUUGCUAAGUUUGAUGGCGACCCGUGCACGGGUGAGUAACACGUAUCCAACCUGCCGAUGACUCGGGGAUAGCCUUUCGAAAGAAAGAUUAAUACCCGAUGGCAUAGUUCUUCCGCAUGGUAGAACUAUUAAAGAAUUUCGGUCAUCGAUGGGGAUGCGUUCCAUUAGGUUGUUGGCGGGGUAACGGCCCACCAAGCCUUCGAUGGAUAGGGGUUCUGAGAGGAAGGUCCCCCACAUUGGAACUGAGACACGGUCCAAACUCCUACGGGAGGCAGCAGUGAGGAAUAUUGGUCAAUGGACGAGAGUCUGAACCAGCCAAGUAGCGUGAAGGAUGACUGCCCUAUGGGUUGUAAACUUCUUUUAUACGGGAAUAAAGUGAGGCACGUGUGCCUUUUUGUAUGUACCGUAUGAAUAAGGAUCGGCUAACUCCGUGCCAGCAGCCGCGGUAAUACGGAGGAUCCGAGCGUUAUCCGGAUUUAUUGGGUUUAAAGGGAGCGUAGGCGGGCUCUUAAGUCAGUUGUGAAAGUUUGCGGCUCAACCGUAAAAUUGCAGUUGAUACUGGGUGUCUUGAGUACAGUGGAGGCAGGCGGAAUUCGUGGUGUAGCGGUGAAAUGCUUAGAUAUCACGAAGAACUCCGAUUGCGAAGGCAGCUUGCUGGACUGUAACUGACGCUGAUGCUCGAAAGUGUGGGUAUCAAACAGGAUUAGAUACCCUGGUAGUCCACACAGUAAACGAUGAAUACUCGCUGUUUGCGAUAUACAG